UUAUAUGUGAAGAAAAGAAAUAGUAUCAUAAGGGAAAUUUUCAGAGAAUAGUCUUCUAGGCUGAAAAAGACUUUAGUUGUAACUUAUGAGAAUGCAUCUUUGAGCACUGUCCCGAAAAAAUAUUUUUUAGUAGGAGGCAGCGUGUACGCACGUUAUAGCGUUGAGGUAUGAUUGUACCAAAAAUGAGAUAUUAUAUAUUUUUUUAUAUAAUAAUUAGAGUGGAACCGCGGAAUAUAACUUCUGCCUCUAAA
rnacentral:ncRNA from 1 species